AAUCCUUUAUUAGUUUUUCGAUUCAGAAACCGUCUAAUACAUUUUUGUUUAAUAGAUUUUAUAUAUUUUUUUAGUAUGAUUGCAUGCUAUUAUGCAUUGCAUGUGCCUAACUAUUAAUUCGUACGUGUAUUGAUUUUUGUUUAAUGUAUUCAUUGGGAAUGAAAUUAAAACGAAGAAGAUGAAGCUGAUGAAGAGGAAGAGUUUGUACGCCUUAUGUAUGUGUGAAAAUUUCGCGCCGAUAUCUUUUCAUUUACAAUAGGGAACUGUGAAAAACUCUUGUACAUUAAAACUUUUAUAUCUUCACGGGAAAUUAGUAUAAAUUUGUAGUUUUAAUUCUCUAAAUAAAAUAAAUUGAGAGUAUAUAUAAAGGACAAUAACAAAGUGGAGUGUGUAUUGGGGGCAUCUUAUGCUACCGCAAGCUUAGCGUCGAAACCGACGAGACAGUGAAGCAGAAAAUUAAAUUGUGAUCUCAACACGCCGUGCUCAUACUACGGAGACAGUGAUUAUUCAGUAAAUAUUUUAAUAAACAUAAUGGCUCCGGCGAAAAAACGCGAAAAGGAUAAUGCAUUAGCAGCGCCGGCAGCUGCUAUAAGUAAUGUUGCAAACGGAAGUGUUAACUCUGUUAAUUGUGGUGGGGUAUCUUCAGCAACAGCUGCUGCUGCAUCUGCAGUCACUGCAAGUACUGCAACUAUAAACGUUGAUAACGUGAAACUCAAUGGACAUCAGCAAGAGCAGGAACUUUUUCUACAAGCUUUUGAAAAACCUACCCAGAUAUAUAGGUUUUUACGCAAUCGUCAUGGCACCAGUCCUAUAUUUUUGAAUCGCACACUUAGUUAUAUGAAGGAGCGCAUGUCGCGAAACAAUAAAAAACGCACAACAUUUAAAGUUAAUUCAAUAUUACAGCAAAUAACACAAAAAGCAGAGAUAGACUCAAAUAAAUAUUUGAAUAUUAUUUACAAUGGGUUAUUUGAUAAAAGUAGUUGCAGCGAUCAAUGGUGGAAUGCUGGAGAGUCGGUUAGUGUUGAAGCUACCCUUUACAAGAUAACAAAAAAUAAACGAAAAGAUAGCACCUCAGACUUUCAGGAAAUGAUGAGUUAUAGUUCAGAUGUUAAAUACAAUCCAGAUCAUGACAUUAGUCGCUUCUCAACUAUCAGUAUUCCGGUACAAUCAAUGCGUCCUCUUGGCGAUCAACACACAAUAUAUAAACUAUUGUUUCGUAUUAAAGUCCUACCAAAAUGUGAUAACAAUUCAAUUGAUGACAACACUGAGAAUUGCGACCCACCUUGCAAACGCGGAAAAAUUAGUACGAAAAUCUAUGGAUGCGAAUUGAUAGUAUUUGAGAAAAAUAUAUGUUUUAUACCUGAAGGGGAUUACGAAGCAGCGAUGCAGGAGCUCAAUUCGAUGAGCAUAAAAUCUUUUUCUCCAAAGAAACGUACGUGGGAGACAUUGCCAGACAAUUACAUUCCACUCUCGUUGAAAUUCGAUGUUUUCAAUCAAUUUCCAACUCUUAAGUUUCGUCUAACAUGGUCGGCCAAUGAAGUGCCUAGUAGUAUUGAUGCAAAGGAUCUUAACCUUUAUGGCGACUUGGCUUGUAUAAAAAAUGAGACAAAUGAUAAAAUACAAAGCAAUACAAAUGAGGUCGAAAUGUCAUUCAAUAGCAAUGUCAAUCAAACUACAAAUAUAGGCGCGCAUGUAAAUCAUAAUAAUAAUUGUGUUAAAACCAACGGUGCUAAAAGUGGUAUUGUGGCAGUAUCAGCAAAAGUAGAAAAAAUACAAAUAGUUUAUAAUUUUUUAUAUAGUAACAAUACACGACAACAAACGGAGUACACACAGGAGGUAAUAUGUCCAUGGUGUGGUUUGGAUUGCUUGCGUUUGUAUGCGCUGCUUAAACAUUUGAAAUUGUGUCAUGCUCGCUUCAAUUUCACAUAUCAACCGGCAGGGAAUGGCGCACGUAUUGACGUGACCAUAAACGAUUCUUAUGAUGGUUCGUAUGCGGGAUCACCGUACGAUUUGGCUGGUCCGUCAGGUUGUUCCUUUGCGCGAACAUGUGGUCCAGUGCGUCGUACAACUGUGACAAAUUUACUAGUCUGCCGCCCGCGUAGACAGAAAACCUGCCUAGACGAGUUUCUAGUGUUGGACGAGGACGAUUUAAGCAAUCAGCGUCCUUACAUUACAGGCCAUAAUAGACUAUACCACCACACGGAGACCUGCUUACCUGUACAUCCCAAGGAACUUGAUAUCGAUUCAGAAGGUGAAAGUGACCCACUAUGGUUACGGCAGAAAACGAUACAAAUGAUUGAUGAAUUCUCCGAUGUAAAUGAGGGCGAAAAAGAAUUGAUGAAGCUAUGGAAUUUACAUGUAAUGAAGCAUGGUUAUGUUGGCGACUGUCAAUUGCCGCUAGCUUGCGAAAUGUUCUUAGACUCGAAUGGCUAUGAGAUUAUACGUAAAAAUCUGUAUCGAAAUUUCAUUUUACAUAUGUGUUCUCUAUUCGAUUAUGGGUUAGUUUCACCAGAGACUGUCUACAAAACUGUACAGAAGCUACAGGGUUUGUUAAGUAAAUAUCCCGAGGGACAAGAGCUGAUGUCCAAACAGCGUGAAGCUCAAUUGAAAUAUUGGCUUGAUGUGGGCAUACAUAAACAAGAUGAACAGAAGCUUAAAUCACCACAAAAGCAAACACCAAAGCCCACGAAUAUAUCUGAAGUGUUAGGAACAGCUGACAAUGAUGUGUGUGGUACAAGCAGUGCCAGUAAAAAUACGGAAAACAAACCAAUGCAACCACCAACAAAGCGUUCAGCUACAGCUGUUAAACGUGCCAGUCUGCAUCUACAAAACGGUAACGCUAACAGUACUUCUGAUAAAUUGAUAAAUGGUUGCGGUAGUAAAGGAGUUGCCAAAAAGACUGCAUCUCAAGCUGUUGACGAUCAAGAGCCUCCCGCCAAUACCAGCGCAAAUAGUGGCAGUGCUAAAACGCCCAACGAUAAACGUGAGCGCCGUGGUGAGGCUUGCAGUAAUAGUAGACGAAGUAGCACAGCGUCAGCGGCUGUAACGUUAACCACAAAUGACCGCGAUGAGAAUAAUGAGCGCAAAGAUGCGCAAAACCUUGAGCGUCCACAUCGUGGUGGAGGCGUAUCAACAAAUAGUACCACUACUGCCGAAUCGCGUGCACAAACAAGUAAAAGACGACUGUCUGUAAAAGAUGCAGCACAACCCACCUGCAAACGCAGCCGCAAUUCUGAAGGCCACAACAGUGGAAGCGGUAGUGGCACAGGCGGUACAACCACCCGCACAACUGUUCAGCGCCAAUCGGCGGAAGGUGUCCCUAUUACCAACAACAGCAGCGGUAAGCAAACCAAUGCCAUCUGCACUACGCCAGCCAAUAGUUUGACAACAACACUGCCAAAACGUUUGAUAACUAGACGUCAAUCCAUAGCUGGCACUACAAAUACCAAUCAUAAUAACAACAAUAAUGCCACCGAGCCAACAUCUUCAAAGUCCUCUGCCAAAAAUACAAAUAUCAUUUCUACAACAACAUCUGCUAAUGUCACACACCAUUCAUUGCGUACACGCCUCUCGGUGCCGUUAACGAAAGUGGAUAAACGCUAAACAACGAAAAAGAAAGUGAAAUUCAAAAGGAUAGUUGUGUGUUGUCACACUGGAAUAAGUUGAACAUCUCUUUAUUCCUGGUACCAUCGUAAAGGAAGUUCGUAGAACAAGAAGCAUUGGAAAUCAGAAUGAAUUGGAAAUAACAGAUGCAGUAAUAUCAUCAGAA
rnacentral:misc_RNA from 1 species